rnacentral:sRNA from 1 species
CUUUUUAUUUUAUUUUUCUU